UUUUUUGCGCAUUAUGGAUUAUUUGCAUUCUUGACCGCUGGAGUCAUUUAGAUGAAGUCUUUUGCUAUUCAAAUCAGAGGCAUGGCUGUGGGCCUCAUGGCAUCUAGAAAAUAAUCAUAUGUACUGGUAUCAAGACCUCAGUAUGCAUAGAAGUGCAGAUCUUGCCUUCAUUCACCACUGUUCAACCCAUUGGUAAGCACAACGAGUAGGAAUCUGCAUUAUGGAGCGUUGCUUUACUGAUGCUGACUGUAUUGUCUUUCUGUGGGAUGUUGGUUCAUGUGUCAUGUGGUCGAUGCCUUGUAUAAGAGCAACUGAUGAUUGUGUAAGUGCUAAUAAAGCAAUAGAACAUUGAAGGCAUGCUGUCA